UACGUAGGAUGCAAGCGUUGUCCGGAUUUACUGGGCGUAAAGCGCGCGCAGGCGGCACUCUAAGUACGUCGUGAAAUAUCCCGGCUCAACCGGGAGGGUGCGAUGUAGACUAGGGAGCUAGAGGUCGGUAGAGGGGGGUGGAAUUGCUGGUGUAGCGGUGAAAUGCGUAGAGAUCAGCAGGAACACCCGUGGCGAAGGCGGCCCCCUGGGCAACUGCUGACACUGAGGCGCGACAGCGUGGGGAGCAAACAGG
rnacentral:rRNA from 1 species